GCAAAAAAGAUCGCGUUGAAGUUGGUUAUAAGUGAAUUUCGUCAUCUGAAUAGCUAAAUAAUCAUUUGGCAAAGGUAAGGAAGAGGUGAAAAUGGAGCAUUAGUCACUGAGCCCAUGGACGAAGAUAAUGAUAUCAGUUCCAUUUUUUAUGUUGGGAAAGCACCAACUGCUCAUAGAGGAAUGUCUGGUUAUAUAUGCAGCUGCAGGGGAGGCUCCUGCUUAGUCACAUCCCUUUGCCCCCUCAGCUAAACUCCCGUUGACGAUGAAGACUUUUUUUAUCUGCAUGACUUGUUCACAGAUCAGACGUUCUGAUUUGGUGGAGGAAAAGCUGUUCAUGUUGAUAUUAGUUGCUCACAACCAGAUAGGUUGUUAACGUUGAUACUGCACUUAGGUUUUUGCAGACUUAUUACAUUAUGUUAGACAGUAUUGCUAUUCUUUAA